rnacentral:lncRNA from 1 species
CUUUUUUAGGGCCAUGCCCAUGGCAUAUGGAAGUUUCCACGCUAGGGGUUGAAUCUGAGCUGCAGCUGCCAGCCUACACCACAGCCAAAGCAACGUGGGAUCCGAGUCAUGUUUGCAACCUACACCACAGAUCAUGGCAACAACAACAAAGAAUCCUUAAUCUACUGAGAGAGGCCAGGGAUCGAACCCACAUCCUCAUGGAUACUAGUCAGGUUCAUUACUAUUGAGCCACAAUGGAAACGCCCACAUUUUCUUAUUGUUUAAGCUUCUCGUGUUGAGAAAUUAUGGUCUGCCAAAUGAGGAGGUACAAACCACCCACACAGGAUCAGCAGGCACCUCCUGUAGCAUCCAAGCUCCUACUUUGCCAAAGUGAAACUUACCAGAUUGUUUUGACCCCCCUCACAAAGAAAGUAGAAUCACAAGAUUUAUUAUUUACAGAUUCCAGAAGCAGGCAAGGGGGGCAGAGGGUGGACACAGUGAGCCAAGAGAAAUAUAGUGUUCCCACAGGUCAUGAGUGAGCAAGAGACAGAGAGCAGGGUAGCAAGCACCUAUAAGGUGGUUGGAGUGCAGGUCACUAAAUUUUCCUGGGCUUAACUCUAAAUAUUUCUUUUAAAAGGUGCCCUGGGAAAAUCAAAGUGAGAAGUUAUGUUUGUUUGUUUGCUUGUUUGUUUUGGUCAUGCUCAUUGGAUAUGCAGAAGUUUCAGGGCUAGGGAUUGAACCCUGGCUACAGCAUUAACCAGAGCCCCAGCAGUGAUCACACCAGAUCCUUAACCUGCUGAGCCACCAGGAAACUUCUAAACUCAAGUUCUGAACAAAAUGUCCAGACUCUGGAUGUGACCAUAGUUAUUACCACCAUAAAUUGCUUAGGCAGCAACUCAGAAACACAAAAGCUGUUUUUCUCAUCAUACUUGUCAGAGUCAGGUUUCCCAUUACUUGCAACCCAAAGCAUCUCAACUGGUGCAGCAGGAGAGACAGAAUUCGAACAUCUGGCUACUGACUCUACAGUCCAGAUCUCAACUACCAUGCCAUUCUACAUCCCUGGAACCUACAUGAGCAAUGAGAUAGCAGCCAACUGGCUUGACUGGCUUAAUUGCCAACAUCUCCCAAUUCUCCCCUUCAGGUUAUAGUAAGAAAUAAGGACCAGCCAGUCAGCUGCAGGUAUGAAUUUUCAUGCCUCUUUUCUUCAGAUCUGGAUCUUGCUCUAGUCUCCCUCACUGACUUUUCUUCAUUGCUGCCUCACUGUUCUUUCCAUUUCUUUCCUUAAGUACUCUGGUAUUGUCUAUUCCCUAGCCAGGUUUUAGUUUGGGGAAACCUAAAAUAAUACAGUCAAGUAAUGAUAAGAAUAAUCAAGAAAAACAAAGCAGAGAUAUUUGGUGAAAUGGUAGACAGUAAACCAUUUUCUCAUAUUACUAGGGAAAAUUUGAGAAGGCCUUGAUGUUAGCAGGCUAUGGUGAGAAAGAAAAAAUGAUGCAAUUCUAUUUUAUUCAAUCCAUUAAGCCAGUAUAUAUUGAACACUUAUUCUGUGCCAGACACUUUACUAAGCUCUGGGAAUAUAACAGCAAAACUGAUAAUCUCUGCCUUUUUGGAGUUUGCAAUCCUGUCUGAAAGACAGACCUUGACAAAAUAAUCACACAAAUAAAUAUAAAUAUAACUGCUGUGGAGGAGAGGUAUGUGCUGUACAAUUUAAAAGAGAAGUUAUUUCAAGAGGCAGUGGAACAAUCGACCAAUAUAAACAAAAGAUAAAAUGAUUUUAAUUACCUGGCAAGGAGAGGAGUAUCCAAAUAUUAUCACCUGCCUGGUAGAGUACAUGUAUUAAGAGAAAAAUAUUAAAUGAUGAUGUAUUAGCCAGAUAAUCUGAUUAAAACUCACAUGUUUAUCUAGCUCUCUUACACUAAGGUGUUUCCAUUUCUACAUAGUCAGAAAACAUUACAAUAAAUGAGGAAUUAGAAUUUUCUUGAUUGAGAGUGAGAAAUCUCAUCUUCACACAGCCGGGAAAUUUGUUAGCACUCCCACUGGGGAGAAACCUGAGAUUUUUUUAAUUUUAUUUUGUUUUUAACAGAUUAUACAAUUUCAAACAAAAAGUUAUAUGAAUAACAGAGUGAAGACUUAUGAACUCUUUAUUCAACUUAAGAAAUAAAACAUUUCCAAUAUAAUUUUAAGCUUAAAGUACCAUAAGCCUCUCGCUCCAAUCACAUUCCUUUCCUAAUAUACAGAGGUAACAAUUAUUCUAAAUGCUGUGAUUAUCAUCACCAUACUUUUUUUAAUACUUACUAUAUAAAUGUAUAUAUCUCUAGAGAAUAGUUACCAUUUUACAUAGUUCAAUACUUUGUAUUAACAUAAUCAUAUUGCAUAUAUUCUGUAACCUGCUUUUUCUGUUCAUGGUUUUAUAUAUAUAUGUGAUCUGUUUAUGUGAAUGUAUAUAGAUUCUGUUUGUUAAUUUUCCAUGCUAUAUAAUAUUCCAACAUAUUAAUUCAUUCUCCUGUUCAUGAAAAUUUAGCAUGUUUCAAUUUGAAUCCUUCUAUCCAUAAGCAUGGCAUGUUUCUCCUCUUAAAAUAAUUGAAUCUUCAAACUUGUUUCAAAAGCAUUCUGUGAAUUUUGUACUACAUCGACGAAUGAGUACUCAACUGGUAUGUCAUCAGUCUAGCACUGAAAUUAUAUAUGUUUAACAUGUUACAUAUGUGUGGACAUUUGGUCUGAGUAUAACUAAAAUGGAUCUGGGGAGUAUAUCUCUAAAAAUCUUUUUUCUAUAACACCCUUAAAUAUUUUUUUCAUUAUUACCACUGAAAUUACAAUAGCAUGCAAGCAUGAUUACCCUGUAGGCUCAGGAGAGGAAAUGUUAUGAGCCUUUGUUCCUAUACGGAUAUAAAGACACGGUCAGAAAGGGCUACCAUUAUUUGAAUUCAUAACGUAUCUUCCUUCUAAAAGUGCUUUAAAACCUAUACAAUUUAAUUUAUACUGAAAGCACUCCUGAGAAAUAGAGGUGCUUUUAGCUCAAUUUAAUAAGUGACACUGAAGUUUGUUGGAUCACCCCAGAUCAGAGACUAGCUUUGAUUCUUGCUCAAAUGGCAUAUACUCAAACUAAGCUGUCUCAUACAGCUUUCAUCUUUGAUAGAAUAGUUAAAGCCUACAUUAUUUUAAGUUCUGGCACUAGAAAAGCUAUUUCAGCAACUGAAUCAACCAGCACUCCAAAUCCCCUUGGACAGUUUUAUCAGUUACAGUCCAUUUGGCUGGCAAUAAAAGGAACCCAAUUGGAUAACAGUAGGAACAUUUAUUAUCUCACAAAGGAAGAAGUCCAGAGGUAGUAGAUUCAGUGGCUUAUCAUUGUCAUCAAAGACCCAGGUUCUUUCCAAUUCCUCUGUGCCUUUCUCAGUAUUGCAUUAUCCUCAGUAUGGCAGCAAAAUGGCUGCAGCUGUUCCAGGCAUCACAUCCAGAUACAAUAACAUUCAGAGAAAUAGAGAAAUAUAUCUUCUUAUCACUCUUUCUCAGGAAUGCUCCUCAGAACUCCUCUACAACCCUCACCCAGAAGACUUUACCUCUGGUUUCAUUGUCAACAGCUGAGACACAUGUCUAUCACUGAUUCAAAUAUUAACAAAGGAAGUGAGGCUGAUUAUUUUAGCCAAUUGGGUCCAUCUGAUUAUUUUAGCUGGAUUUAGGGUCAGCUUCUCCUGAAACACAUGACUAGAUGGGGGAGGAGGAUACACCCAAACAAAAUCAAGGUUCUGAUAGAAAAGGAGAAGAGGAAAGGACACAGGUUAGGCAACCAACAUUGUCUAUUAGAGUCAGCUGUCCUAAACCCCCAUCUAUACACUAAGGAUAGAUUUGAAAUACCAAGAAAAUGAAGUCAAGUUCUGCUUUAGCCUCAGGAAAGAUUUUUACAAACUGCCUAAAGAACUACCCUAUCUCAAACCCCUAAAUCCUGUUGACUUCUGAUCCAUAGCUGCUAUGGUCUAAUGUCUGGGUCACCUCAAAAUUCAUAUGUUGAACACCUAAUGCCCAAUGUAAUUAUGUUGGAAGUUAUUAGUGUCCUUAAAAAGCUAUGCCAGAGAGCUCCCUAGGCCCUUCUACCAUGUGAGGAUACAGACAGCAGACCCUGGCCAGACACUCCAUCUACUGGCACCUUGAUCUGGGACUUCCUAGCUUCAAAAACUACAAAAAAAAUAAAUUUCUGUUGUUUCUAAGCCACCAAGUGUCAGGUGUUUUGUUAGAGCUUAAACAUACUAAGACAAUAGCUUCAGUCAGCAAAGGUGGUCAUCAUGAUUUGGUUGUUCCUGGUCUAAAAUAAAGAUGAAUCUGGGCCUGAGUUGAUGAACACUAAAAACGAAUGUUUAUUGUCCUGCUCAGUGGUGCUCUGCUUGGCAACUUAAGUACAUUAUUACAUCUAAUGUUAAAUGG